rnacentral:lncRNA from 1 species
GAGCUAAGCCGAGCGGACGGGAGGUGCGUCUCCCCGCAAAACCCCGCGUCAAAAAACGCCUACCAAAUGCUUUCUCGUUUGGACCCAGACUCCAGUUCCGGAGCAGUCUGGUAGCCGGAUCCCCUAGGAGGAGAAGUAGUAAAGCGGUAAGAAGAAAGCAUUUCAGUUUGGAA